CGGAGGUGGCAAGCGUUACUCGGAAUUAUUGGGUGUAAAGGGCAAGUAGGCGGCUUGGCAAGUGGGGGGUGAAAUACUCCGGCUCAAUCGGAGAACAGCCUUCCAAACUGCCAGGCUUGAGUGUGACAGAGGAAAAGGGAAUUCUCGGUGUAAGGGUGAAAUCUGUAGAUAUCGAGAAGAACACCAGCGGCGAAGGCGCUUUUCUGGGUCACUACUGACGCUAAAUUGCGAAAGCUAGGGGAGCAAACAGAAUUAGAUACUCUGGUAGUCCUAGCCGUAAACGAUGAGCACUAGGUGUCAGCUCCUUUUAGGAGUUGGUGCCGCAGCUAACGCAUUAAGUGCUCCACCUGGGGGACUACGGUCGCAAGGCUAA
rnacentral:rRNA from 1 species